UACGUAGGGUGCAAGCGUUAAUCGGAAUUACUGGGCGUAAAGCGUGCGCAGGCGGUUAUGUAAGACAGUUGUGAAAUCCCCGGGCUCAACCUGGGAACUGCAUCUGUGACUGCAUAGCUAGAGUACGGUAGAGGGGGAUGGAGUUCCGCGUGUAGCAGUGAAAUGCGUAGAUAUGCGGAGGAACACCGAUGGCGAAGGCAAUCCCCUGGACCUGUACUGACGCUCAUGCACGAAAGCGUGGGGAGCAAACAGG
rnacentral:rRNA from 1 species